AUGGUCGCCCUCUCUGGCGGCCACACCAUCGGGAUGGCGCAGUGCCAGAACUUCAGGGGCAGGCUCUACAACAAGUCCAACAUCAACACGGCCUAUGCGACCAAGCUCAAGCUCAACUGCCCCCAGUCCGGCGGCGACACCAACCUGGCCCCGCUCGACGACGACACAGCGAUCCCCCCGAAUCCGGACUUGUUCAACAACGACUACUUCAUCAACCUUCAGUCCGAGAAGGGCCUCCUUCACUCCGACCAGGUGCUGUACAACGCCACCGCAGCCGCCGGUGCCACCGAGGACAUCGUUAAGGCCUUCGCUUCUAGCCAGGCCGCCUUCUUUAGCGCCUUCGCCUCCGCCAUGGUGAAGAUGGCCAACCUCAGCCCGUUGACUGGCUCUCAGGGCCAGGUCAGGAGCGUGUGCUCCAUCCCCAACUAA
rnacentral:rRNA from 1 species